CAAAUCGCUGCCUACCAUGCAGUCGAGGGGUAACAUAGAAAAGCUUGCUUUUCUGAUGACGACCGGCGCACGGGUGCGUAACGCGUAUACAACCUACCUUUUAGCGGGGAAUAGCCCAGGGAAACUUGGAUUAAUGCCCCAUAGUAUAUGGACUUCUCCUGAAGUUUAUAUUAAACAUUUAUGGCUAUUAGAUGGGUAUGCGUCCUAUUAGUUAGUUGGUAAGGUAACGGCUUACCAAGGCAGCGAUAGGUAGGGGUCCUGAGAGGGAGAUCCCCCACACUGGUACUGAGACACGGACCAGACUCCUACGGGAGGCAGCAGUGAGGAAUAUUGGACAAUGGGCGAGAGCCUGAUCCAGCCAUGCCGCGUGCAGGAAGACUGCCCUAUGGGUUGUAAACUGCUUUUACAGAGGAAGAACCACCCCCACGUGUGGGGGUUUGACGGUACUCUGCGAAUAAGGAUCGGCUAACUCCGUGCCAGCAGCCGCGGUAAUACGGAGGAUCCAAGCGUUAUCCGGAAUCAUUGGGUUUAAAGGGUCCGUAGGCGGGCAGUUAAGUCAGUGGUGAAAGUCUUCCGCUCAACGGGAGAACUGCCAUUGAUACUGAUUGUCUUGAGUUAUUAUGAAGUGGUUAGAAUGAGUAGUGUAGCGGUGAAAUGCAUAGAUAUUACUCAGAAUACCGAUUGCGAAGGCAGAUCACUAAUAAUAUACUGACGCUGAUGGACGAAAGCGUAGGUAGCGAACAGGAUUAGAUACCCUGGUAGUCUACGCCGUAAACGAUGGUUACUAGCUGUUCGGCCCAAUUGAGGGCUGAGUGGUUAAGCGAAAGUGAUAAGUAACCCACCUGGGGAGUACGUUCGCAAGAAUGAAACUCAAAGGAAUUGACGGGGGCCCGCACAAGCGGUGGAGCAUGUGGUUUAAUUCGAUGAUACGCGAGGAACCUUACCAGGGCUUAAAUGUAGUCUGACAGGUCUGGAAACAGACUUUUCUUCGGACAGAUUACAAGGUGCUGCAUGGUUGUCGUCAGCUCGUGCCGUGAGGUGUCAGGUUAAGUCCUAUAACGAGCGCAACCCCUGUGGUUAGUUGCCAGCGAGUAAUGUCGGGAACUCUAGCCAGACUGCCGGUGCAAACCGCGAGGAAGGUGGGGAUGACGUCAAAUCAUCACGGCCCUUACGUCCUGGGCCACACACGUGCUACAAUGGUAGGGACAGAGAGCAGCCACUUCGCGAGAAGGAGCGAAUCUACAAACCCUAUCACAGUUCGGAUCGCAGUCUGCAACUCGACUGCGUGAAGCUGGAAUCGCUAGUAAUCGCAUAUCAGCCAUGAUGCGGUGAAUACGUUCCCGGGCCUUGUACACACCGCCCGUCAAGCCAUGGAAGCCGGGGGUACCUGAAGUCGGUCACCGCAAGGAGCCGCCUAGGUAAAACGUUGG
rnacentral:rRNA from 1 species